AACGAACGCUGGCGGCGUGCCUAACACAUGCAAGUCGAACGAGAAAGGGGCUUCGGCUCCGAGUAAAGUGGCGCACGGGUGAGUAACACGUGGGUAACCUGCCUCUAAGAUUGGGAUAACUCGUCGAAAGAUGAGCUAAUACCGAAUAAGACCACAGUUACCGCGGGAACAGGGGUCAAAGGUAGCCUCUGCUUGCAAGCUAUCACUUAGAGAUGGGCCUGCGCACCAUUAGCUAGUUGGUAGGGUAACGGCCUAACAAGGCAAAGAUGGUUAGCUGGUCUGAGAGGAUGAUCAGCAACACUGGAACUGAGACACGGUCCAGACUCCUACGGGAGGCAGCAGUGGGGAAUAUUGCGCAAUGGGCGAAAGUUUGACGAAGCAACGCCGCGUGAGUGAUGAAGGCCUUCGGGUCGUAAAGCUCUGUCGGGAGGAACGAAUGCUCCUGAGGUUAACAGCCUCGGGAGGUGACGGUACCUUCAAAGGAAGCACCGGCUAACUCUGUG
rnacentral:rRNA from 1 species